GGGGGGCAACCCCCCGAGUAGAGUGGCGAACGGGUGAGUAAUACAUCGGAACGUGCCCAGUAGCGGGGGAUAACCUCUCGAAAGAGAGGCUAGUACCGCAUACGUCCUACGGGAGAAAGAGGGGGAUCGCAAGACCUCUCACUAUUGGAGCGGCCGAUGUCGGAUUAGCUAGUUGGCGGGGUAACGGCCCACCAAGGCUACGAUCCGUAGCUGGUCUGAGAGGACGACCAGCCACACUGGAACUGAGACACGGUCCAGACUCCUACGGGAGGCAGCAGUGGGGAAUUUUGGACAAUGGGCGCAAGCCUGAUCCAGCCAUGCCGCGUGGGUGAAGAAGGCCUUCGGGUUGUAAAGCCCUUUCGGCUGGGACGAAAAGGUCCGCGCUAACACCGCGGAUCCAUGACGGUACCAGCAGAAGAAGCACCGGCUAACUACGUGCCAGCAGCCGCGGUAAUACGUAGGGUGCAGGCGUUA
rnacentral:rRNA from 1 species